GGAAUGCAUCCUUUGUAAACUUUGUAGAAAUGUAUGAUGAAGAGAAAGAUAUGAACCUUGUUAGGGAAGAUGAUGGGGAAAGAGAGGAAGCUAAAGAAUCACUGUUCACAAAAGGACAAUCAAAAAGAAUUUGGAAUGAGCUUUACAAGGUCAUAGAUUCAUCUGAUGUUGUCAUACAGGUACUAGAUGCUCGUGAUCCCA